ACUGAAACAAAAAAUAAAAUUCAAGAAUGUUGCUAAAACUAGUCAUUUCAAGAAGGUAAAAUUCGUAUACGUUGUUCAUCGUUGCAUUGCAAUCGCAACUCGAAAGUUCAUGAAAAUAUCAACAUAAUAGCGUCAUAAAAAUGUCCACAUCCAUAAAAAUGUGGUACGCAUAUUCGUAUGUCGUGAUCUUAUGCCUACAGUAAAUUUGAAUCAUCUCAUUUUUGAAUUCAAGUUCGAAAAAUAAAAAAUGUAAAUAAAAAAUUUAAAAAGUCGAAUUGAAAAAAAAAGUAAAAAGUUGAUGAAAUGAGUAUUGCGCCAAUGUCGAGGCACUAAACAGAAUUGCCGUGUCGUGUUUAACCAGGCACAAAUGGAGCUACUAGUGCUCCUGCGAAAAUGCAGUUGCGAAAUUCGUCAGCUGAGAAAACCCUGCAGAAGCCGGAAAGGAACAGGAACGUCGAACGUGUGUUUACUUGUGUACAUUUUUCGCGGGGUUUCAAACUUCGGUUUAUGUGAAUUUUUACUUUUCAAGUUUGGCGUGUUUGAGUUUUAAAUUAUCUACCCAGUAAAGUUACAAUCAGUAAUCGAACAACAAUGAUCACUUUUGCAGUUUUCACUGUGGAUUUACGACUUCAACGAGAAUAGCAAUGUUUCUUAUUCCUCAUCAAAUUCGCCAUGGUGCAGCUGUGAGCUGUUUCGUUUAUGCCAUAGACCCUACCAUAAAUUCAGAUAAAAUGGUUUAGUUCAACAGAUGUGAGUACGAGCAAGUGGCCAAUUACUGCACAAACAUCCGCUCAUGUUGGUGUCGAAUCCAGAAAGCAUUUCCAUUGAAAUCAUUUUCGCAUCGUUACGAAUAUACGAAUGAGUACCUAAUUUAAGUAUUUGUCUAAUAACUUACCCAACUGACUUGAAGGUGAAGGAUCGAAUUUUCACCAAAAUCCCAGAUGUAGAACUUUUUGGUUGUAUCGAUAAAAGCGCUUGUGCUGUACCUGGAGAACAAAACCCGUUUGCUCGAUGAAUUCAUUUCCAAAUACAUACUUAGUUCAAAUAUGCUUAGAGGUGGAUUGUGGAUUCCUAAAAUUUGUUGCCUCUCUUCUUCAGAUCCAAUUCCCGCGCCUAGAAUUUUUUUGACUAUUUGGAUUGAUUAAAUUUUUAACAUUUAUUGGUAUGUAUCAGGUGGUCGUCGAAAAACACAAGUCCGUACCAAACCGCCAAACGAUAUUUUACGAAUAUGGAUAGCUGUAGCUGAUUCUACGUCGGCGGCCUCAAGGAUUCGAAAAUAACCGCGGAUAAUAUGAGUAUACCGAUUCCAUUUCCAACGUCCAACGAGCGACGGUUCCACCAUUUGAAGUUGUUCACAGGCAUUACCUAAUCAAUGAUUUUUAAAAUGAUGAAGAUUAUUAGAUUACGAUGAUUUGUAUCAUUGUUGAUGCAUGAUUUUUGAUAUUCAUGAUGUUGUCAAUUUCUAGGUUUGAAUUUCAGUUCUCUACAAUUUGCAAAUUUGUCAUAUUUUAAAACGUAAUUUUUUUGUGUUUGGGUGAUUGAUUCAAGACAUUAGAGUAGGUACCUACCUACUCAGAAUAUGGAUAAUUUUUUUCAAAAGUAAAUCAUAAAGUAAACGUCCCUCGAGGAAUUUUUUUUCAAAACAGUUUAUUAUAAAAAGUGUUGUUUUCGUAUGUACCUAUAUGAGCGCUUAUCUUUCAACUCCCACGAAAAUAUCAAUUUCUCAACAUUCAACUUUAUUUCCAUUAAAUUAGUUUUCUGGGUUAAUCACAUAAAAUUGGAAGUGGUCAACUUUGUUUCCGGAAAAAGCCACUUGAUUUUCAACAUCCGAAUUUUUUAAAAGUUGCGUAAGAAAAUAAUAUUGGACAUACGUAAGUAGGUAUUUGAAUAAUUUCUGGGUAAAAAACAUUUUGAAACCGGAUUAAACCAAUCUCAAAUAUUCAUCUACCUAGGUACGUUUAAAAGCCGUAUUAUUUUUUUAAAGAUAUUUUUUAAGGGAUCUGGGAUACAAAAAAUUCGACUUGAAAUUAAGUAUUUGUACUUACCUAGCCACUUUACCUCUAUUACAUUUUGUCUCAUUUAUAGAAGUCUUUCAAUUACCUGUGUGGUAGGUACUUUUUUUAUUUGGAUUUUUUUUUCAAGAACAUUUUCCUGUAUUUGUAAAAUUUUUGGUGCUAUCGAUAAUACGAAUUUUUGCUCAUUUUUUUUUUUUUAUCCGAACCUUAGUUAACAUUUAUGUAUUUCAAGAUGUACUGUACUUCUCCAUAAAAAGUCAUUAAAAAAUAAAAUAUUGAAUUUUA